CAGAGAGUAGCCUAGCUGGUUAAGGCACCUGAUUUGGGAUCAGGAAAUCGGGAGUUCAAAUCUCUCCUCUUUGA
rnacentral:tRNA from 1 species